rnacentral:rRNA from 1 species
GUAGUCCACGCCGUAAACGAUGAGUGCUAAGUGUUAGGGGGUUUCCACCCCUUAGUGCUGCAGCUAACGCAUUAAGCACUCCGCCUGGGGAGUACGGUCGCAAGACUGAAACUCAAAGGAAUUGACGGGGGCCCGCACAAGCGGUGGAGCAUGUGGUUUAAUUCGAAGCAACGCGAAGAACCUUACCAGGUCUUGACAUCCCGCUGACCGCUAUGGAGACAUAGCCUUCCCUUCGGGGACAGCGGUGACAGGUGGUGCAUGGUUGUCGUCAGCUCGUGUCGUGAGAUGUUGGGUUAAGUCCCGCAACGAGCGCAACCCUUGUCCUUAGUUGCCAUCAUUCAGUUGGGCACUCUAAGGAGACUGCCGUACAAAUACGGA